UGAAAGCUGUCAUACCAGAGACGAUAUGUUUGAAGCUAUAAGUCCUGGUUCAUAUCACCAAAUGAUAUUAACAAAUGCAUGAAAGUAGUGUGCAGUGCCAUGAAAUAUAGUGUUCUUUUUGUAGAUGUGUCAUUUUCUGCGGAUUGUAUUGGACUACGGAAUGGUAAUUACCAGUUAAACUGCCGGACGUAUAAAACAUGUAUCAACAGUACUGCAGCAGUCCACAACUGCCCUACACCUCCAGCAUUAGAUACUGUUUUCAACAAUGUGACGCGAAAAUGUGACAAACCAAUUAAUGUCCCUUUACCAUGUGGUGGCUACAAUUAUGACUGUUCAAGUAAAGCAGAUGGCGAUUUUGCUGAUUUGCAAACCAAUUGUACUUCGUUUGCUGUUUGUUAUAGCGGGAAAUUAGCAGGAUAUCAACAUUGUCCAGCAAAUUUGGUAUUUGAUGCAGCAAAACAGACUUGUAAUUGGGUCGGGAGAGUCCCGCCACCGUGUGGUACCAAAGUUUGACCAUUGCUCAUAUAAUCACGCUCAGUUCCUCCAGUUUGGCAAAUAAAACACUUCUAUAUG